AGUCCCAGCGUGGGGUGCAGCGGGGCCCCCACGGCCGACACCUACCAGGGCCCACGGGCAGGGCGCAGCAACUCCACGCCCUGCAGCCCCGCACCGGGACGCCCGGGCCGGGUGCCCACCAGCCCCUCGCGCCCAAAGCCGCGCGCGGCCCCCCGCCCGGACCAGAUUAGGCUCUGCCACGGACGGAGUAUCAACUGCCAGAGAGGAAAAAAAAAUCUGAAGUUGGAAGGUACACGCUGCCCUUCACUUUCACAGUGAACACCAGUUUCAACAAUUCCCGAUUUCGCUACGCUUAGCGCCGGGCGAGUGGGCUCCAACACUCUAACCCCAAGAAGCGGGGCGCGUCUGUCGCGUGGGAACGAGACGGGAGAAACCACACAUUUCGAUAAUCUCUGAGAAGCACAAUCACAUCACUCCUUGGCUUCCCCUUCUGCAGGUUUCGCCUUGAAUCCGAAAGCACCUCUGAUGCUCAUUCUUUACAGGAGGACACUCAGAGGAGACUGCUGCGUGCCAACCUAGCUGCACAGACUCGGAAAAAAGCGUGUCCACGUCUACAGCUCACAACUGCAAAUUCGGAGCCUGCGGAUGCGCGGGGAUGGUCGGACUUAACAGUGUGCAGACACAUGGGCGCAUGCACGCGCGCGCGCGUACACACUCACACCCCAAAUUACCUCCGGGAUGGAGAAAGCCGCUGCGGAUUGGCCAGGAAAGCCGUCACUCACACCCAGGGGGCAGGGAGACUUUGCAAGGCUGUUUCCUUUUUAUCCCCCCCUCCCUACCGUUUCAUUUAUUGGUAAAACAACAGCAGAGCUCUGAAAGUUAGCCAUCUUCGCCGAGAGUUUGCCUUCUUUAACUACGGGGGCGUCAGACAAUAUCCAUUUAAAUAUAUUUUAUACUUCCACAAUGGAUGAAAGGGAAAAUUAGCAAUCGGGGUGGGGGCGGAGAGGAAGCUAGCUGUGAAAAGGAGGGGUCAUGGGUUGGGGGGCGGGUAGUGGACGCGGGGUGAAGUUGUCCUCAACACCCAAAAGGGACUUUGACCUUUCACUGAUCUCGAAAUUAAAAAAUGUUCUUCACAGGU
rnacentral:lncRNA from 1 species